GGGUCCGAGAAAAAUUCUCGGAGGGUUGUUUGAUGGUCGGGCCGCCAUCU
rnacentral:ncRNA from 1 species